GUUGCUCCAUGGGCUGCCCCCAAUCGCAGACAGCCAUGUCCAGGGCACCAAGGUCAGGACAAUAAAGUCCAGGACACCAAGGUCAAGAACACCAAGGUCCAGGGCACCAAGGUCAGGACAAUAAGGUC